AUUGAACGCUGGCGGCAGGCCUAACACAUGCAAGUCGAACGAGCGGCGGACGGGUGAGUAAUAUCUGGGUACUGCCCGCUGGAGGGGGAUAACUACUGGCAACGGUAGCUAAUAUCGCAUACUCUCUGAUGACCCAGAUGUGAUUAGCUCGUGGGUGAGGUAAUGGCUCACCUAGGCGACGAUCCCUAGCUGGUCUGAUAGGAUGAUCAGCCACACUGGGACUGAGACACGGCCCAGACUCCUACGGAGGCAGCAGUGGGGAAUAUUGCACAAGGGGCGAAAGCCUGAUGCAGCCAUGCCGCGUGUAUGAUGAAGGCCGUAGGGUUGUAAAGUACUUUAAGUCGGGAGGCGUUACCGGCAGAAGAAGCACCGGCUAACUCCGUGCCAGCAGCCGCGGUAAUUC
rnacentral:rRNA from 1 species